rnacentral:misc_RNA from 1 species
GAUGAAGAACGCAGCGAAAUGCGAUAAGUAAUGUGAAUUGCAGAAUUCAGUGAAUCAUCGAAUCUUUGAACGCACAUUGCGCCCGCCAGUAUUCUGGCGGGCAUGCCUGUCUGAGCGUCAUUUCAACCCUCAUGCCCUAGGGCGUGGUGUUGGGGAUCGGCCAAAGCCCGCGAGGGACGGCCGGCCCCUAAAUCUAGUGGCGGACCCGUCGUGGCCUCCUCUGCGAAGUAGUGAUAUUCCGCAUCGGAGAGCGAUGAGCCCCUGCCGUUAAACCCCCAACUUUCCAAGGUUGACCUCAGAUCAGGUAGGAAUACCCGCUGAACUUAAGCAUAUCAAUAAGCGGAGGA